AGCUCCAAUAGCGUAUAUUAAAGUUGUUGCAGUUAAAAAGCUGGUAGUUGGGUUUCUGGCUGGACAUAUGGGUCCGCUCUUUGAGUUGGCACUUUACAUGUCUGGCCAUCCUUUGGGAGAGCCACAGUGGUAUUAAGUUGUUGGUGUGGGGAUCUCAAUAUUUUACUGUGAAGGAAUUAGAGUGUUCAAAGCAGGCUUACGCCGUUGAAUAUAUCAGCAUGGCAUAAUAACAUAGGACUAUUAUACUAUUUUGUUAGUUUACGAGCAAUAGUAAUGAUUAACAGGAACAGUUGGGGGUAUUUAUAUUCCAUUGUCAGAGGUAAAAUUCUUAGACUUUUGGGAGACAAACUACUGCGAAAGCAUUUACCAAAGAUGUUUUCA
rnacentral:rRNA from 1 species